rnacentral:rRNA from 1 species
UACGUAGGGACCAAGCGUUGUUCGGAUUUACUGGGCGUAAAGGGCGCGUAGGCGGCAAUUCAAGUCAUCUGUGAAAUCUCCGGGCUUAACUCGGAACGGUCAGAUGAUACUGCUUUGCUCGAGUGCGGAAGGGGCAAUCGGAAUUCUUGGUGUAGCGGUGAAAUGCGUAGAUAUCAAGAGGAACACCUGAGGUGAAGACGGGUUGCUGGGCCGACACUGACGCUGAGUGCGCGAAAGCCAGGGGAGCAAACGGG